AGAGUUUGAUCCUGGCUCAGGAUGAACGCUGGCGGCGUGCCUAAUACAUGCAAGUCGAGCGAACAGACGAGGAGCUUACUCCUCUGACGUUAGCGGCGGACGGGUGAGUAACACGUGGAUAACCUACCUAUAAGACUGGGAUAACUUCGGGAAACCGGAGCUAAUACCGGAUAAUAUAUUGAACCGCAUGGUUCAAUAGUGAAAGACGGUUUUGCUGUCACUUAUAGAUGGAUCCGCGCCGCAUUAGCUAGUUGGUAAGGUAACGGCUUACCAAGGCAACGAUGCGUAGCCGACCUGAGAGGGUGAUCGGCCACACUGGAACCGAGACACGGUCCAGACUCCUACGGGAGGCAGCAGUAGGGAAUCUUCCGCAAUGGGCGAAAGCUUGACGGAGCAACGCCGCGUGAGUGAUGAAGGUCUUCGGAUCGUAAAACUCUGUUAUUAGGGAAGAACAAAUGUGUAAGUAACUAUGCACGUCUUGACGGUACCUAAUCAGAAAGCCACGGCUAACUACGUGCCAGCAGCCGCGGUAAUACGUAGGUGGCAAGCGUUAUCCGGAAUUAUUGGGCGUAAAGCGCGCGUAGGCGGUUUUUUAAGUCUGAUGUGAAAGCCCACGGCUCAACCGUGGAGGGUCAUUGGAAACUGGAAAACUUGAGUGCAGAAGAGGAAAGUGGAAUUCCAUGCGUAGCGGUGAAAUGCGCAGAGAUAUGGAGGAACACCAGUGGCGAAGGCGACUUUCUGGUCUGUAACUGACGCUGAUGUGCGAAAGCGUGGGGAUCAAACAAGGUUAGAUACCCUGGUAGUC
rnacentral:rRNA from 1 species